UCUCGGAUAGCUUAACUGGUAGAGCAUUUAUGCGUAACCAAAAAUUCAGGUUCGAGUCCUGGUCUAAGCU
rnacentral:tRNA from 1 species